GACGAACGCUGGCGGCGUGCCUAAUACAUGCAAGUCGAGCGCUGACGGAUGGUACUUGUACUCACUGGAUGAGCAGCGAACGGGUGAGUAACGCGUGGGGCAUCUGCUUUUGAUUGGGGGACAAUAUCUGGAAACGAAUGAUAAUACUGCAUAAAACCUUCAAACACAAGUUUCAAGUUUGAAAGAUGCCAUUGCAUCACUCAUAGAUGAUCCCGCGUUGUAUUAGUUAGGUGGUGAGGGAAAGGCUCACCAAGGCGGAGGUACAUAGCCGACCUGAGAGGGUGGACGACCACAAUGGGACUGGGACACGGCCCAAACUCCCACGGGGAGCAGCAGGAGGGAAUCUUCGGCAAUUGGCGGAAAGCUGGCCGAGCAACGCCGGGUGGGUGGAAGAGGGUUUCGGGGCGUAAAAGUCUGUUUGUAGGGAAGAACAUGGGGGAGGGUAAAAAGCUCAUCAAGUGACGGUAACUACCCAGAAAGCAACGGCUAACUACGUG
rnacentral:rRNA from 1 species